CCUUUCUCUUUCAUGCUACCUCCGAGGGACCACCCUGCCGUUGGUGAAUUGUGCAUUGAAUAGGGUUAGGGGUGUGGGUAUCAUCCCUAAUAUCAUAAGAGCCGUGCCCAAACAGAGUCAAGGGGUGUCAGGGUAAAUGGGACAAUCUAUCAGCAUUUCCAUUACUAGUUGUCCUCUUGAAUUCAAUCUUGUAAUUGUGUCCUCCAAGAAAAAGAGCCCAUCCCUGCAUUCGUGCUGCUACUGUUAGUGGAACACCUUUCUGUGAAUUGAAAAUGGACACCAGUGACUGAUGAUCAGUAAUGAGGGGGAUGUGGCAUGAAAAUUGUGGCUGGAUCUCCAAUCAAGUUCUUGUCCCUGCCGAUCAUGGUCCCACAAUUUGGCCCUCCUGUUUUUACCACAUACAAACCCAAUGUGACUUUUGUUUGUUGUUACUGUUAUGAAUGACAUUCCCACAGGAGUUAUCUUUUCUCCAGUAUGUUAUUAUUUGGAUAUCUGCAGGCUUCAGUUCAGUAUCUUUGAAAUCCAUUCAAACUCAUUGUGGAAUGACUGAAACAGCUGAGCCAUUGUCUGAUUCUAUUUUAGUUAAUUCGCCAUUCUGGUGUAAGCCAUAUUGCUCGUCUAUUGUUAGUUUUCUCAUUGUAAAUCUUAAGGCUACCCAUUGCUGGGUCACUCUUAUCAUUACCAGACUUUUCAUCAACAGUAUGGAGAUUAGUGCUGGUUUUGAAACUGCAACUUGGCUUUUU